AACCAAACAGCAAAAGGAACUCUAUUCUGGGAUGAUGGAGAGUCGAUAGACACAUAUGAAAAAAAUCAAUAUACCUUGAUAGAAUUCAAUUUAAAUCAGAAAAAUUUAACAAGUACUGUAUUGAAAGAUGGAUAUAGAAACAAAAGUGAGAUGAAACUUGGAAGUAUCUAUGUAUGGGGAAAAGGAACAACCAGUAUCAGUCAGGUUAAUCUGACUUAUGGUGGGAAUGAACAACAGCUUUCAUUUACUCAAGACGAAGCUAAGGAGAUACUAACAAUUGACCUGAAAAAUGUAACUGUUACUCUUGAUGAACCAAUACAAAUCAGCUGGUCAUGAAGAUCACCAUCAGUUUGAAUUCCUGAGGAGGAAUUGAUAUCCGGUCCACGGUUCUACUUUCCUGACUCCCUAUUUUCUUUAAAACAGAAUUUUCACACUCCUUAUCUAAUAUUUCUCCAUUGUAUGCAUCAAAAGAACUGCUAACUAGUUCUAUGAAUGCAACCUGGAUGUCACCUGCUCAGCAGGCUUAACGGGAUUUGAAUAAUUAUAAUACUUUCCAAGCAACAGCUAAACCUGGAAACUUGUUUGCAUGUAACUAGGAUAAGACUAAAGAAAGUAAUUUUUAAAUAAACACAAUUUUUGUAAGUAUAAAGUAUACAUAAUAAUACAAUCAAUUGUGUAGACCAAACUUAUUUAACAAAUCACAACAUUUAAUAAUUUUGUACUAUGUAUACGUCAUUACGAAACAGAAAAUAAAAGUUGUAUAAAU
rnacentral:lncRNA from 1 species